CACCAAAAACCUGAGCCACACCCGAGCCUUACCAAACACCUCAGCCUCGCCAGACACCUUAG
rnacentral:scRNA from 1 species